rnacentral:rRNA from 1 species
UAUACCUUUUGUUGCCUCGGCGCAUGCUGGCCUCUAGCAGGCCCCUCACCCCGGUGAGGAGAAGGCACGCCGGCGGCCAAGUUAACUCUUGUUUUUACACUGAAACUCUGAGAAAAAAACACAAAUGAAUCAAAACUUUCAACAACGGAUCUCUUGGUUCUGGCAUCGAUGAAGAACGCAGCGAAAUGCGAUAAGUAAUGUGAAUUGCAGAAUUCAGUGAAUCAUCGAAUCUUUGAACGCACAUUGCGCCCUCUGGUAUUCCGGAGGGCAUGCCUGUUCGAGCGUCAUUUCAACCCUCAAGCAUUGCUUGGUGUUGGGGCACUGCCUGUAAAAGGGCAGGCCCUGAAAUCUAGUGGCGAGCUCGCCAGGACCCCGAGCGCAGUAGUUAAACCCUCGCUCUGGAAGGCCCUGGCGGUGCCCUGCCGUUAAACCCCCAACUUUUGAAAAUUUGACCUCGGAUCAGGUAGGAAUACCCGCUGAACUUA